UACGUAGGGUGCAAGCGUUAAUCGGAAUUACUGGGCGUAAAGCGUGCGCAGGCGGUUGUGCAAGACAGAUGUGAAAUCCCCAGGCUUAACCUGGGAACUGCAUCCGAUACUGGAUGGCUUGAAUCCGGGAGAGGGAUGCAGAAUUCCAGGUGUAGCGGUGAAAUGCGUAGAUAUCUGGAGGAAUACCGGUGGCGAAGGCGGCAUCCUGGGCCUUACCUGACGCUGAGACGCGAAAGCGUGGGGAGCGAACCGG
rnacentral:rRNA from 1 species